CAGUAGCCGCGGUAAUACGGAGGGUGCAAGCGUUAAUCGGAAUUACUGGGCGUAAAGCGCACGCAGGCGGUCUGUCAAGUCAGAUGUGAAAUCCCCGGGCUUAACCUGGGAACUGCAUUUGAAACUGGCAGGCUAGAGUCUUGUAGAGGGGGGUAGAAUUCCAGGUGUAGCGGUGAAAUGCGUAGAGAUCUGGAGGAAUACCGGUGGCGAAGGCGGCCCCCUGGACAAAGACUGACGCUCAGGUGCGAAAGCGUGGGGAGCAAACAGGAUUAGAUACCCCGGUAGUCCCUGUCUCUUAUAA
rnacentral:rRNA from 1 species